GACGAACGCUGGCGGCGUGCUUAACACAUGCAAGUCGAACGGAAAGGCCCCCUUGUGGGGUACUCGAGUGGCGAACGGGUGAGUAACACGUGAGUAACCUACCCUUGACUUUGGGAUAACUUCAGGAAACUGGGGCUAAUACCGGAUAGGAGCUCCUGCUGCAUGGUGGGGGUUGGAAAGUUUCGGCGGUUGGGGAUGGACUCGCGGCUUAUCAGCUUGUUGGUGGGGUAGUGGCUCACCAAGGCUUUGACGGGUAGCCGGCCUGAGAGGGUGACCGGCCACAUUGGGACUGAGAUACGGCCCAGACUCCUACGGGAGGCAGCAGUGGGGAAUAUUGCACAAUGGGCGGAAGUCUGAUGCAGCAACGCCGCGUGCGGGAUGACGGCCUUCGGGUUGUAAACCGCUUUCGCCUGUGACGAAGUGUGAGUGACGGUAAUGGGUAAAGAAGCACCGGCUAACUACGUG
rnacentral:rRNA from 1 species